CCCACUUGGAGCCGGUCUCCAGGGCACAUCUUGCGGGCGACUCACCCUGUAAGAAAUAAGAAAAUGCCUCAAUAAAAACAUGUAAAUCUGAAAUAAAGCGACAACUUUAUCCACGAAUGCUGCCCAGUAUACACAUUUAUCACCCGGGUCCUUUUACUUUGAAGUCAGCGAAAGACAACGAAGUGCAGGUAAGAGUUUCCCUUUCUACCCCCGAACUACUACGUGCGUAUUUUCCACGGAUACUAAACUAAAACGAGCGAGAAAGCUAAAUCAAAGUGUUUCGGGGGAAAUGUAGUGAGUUUGAUGCUGAACGAUCUCCCGAGACCCGUCUAGAAGGACACGAAACGAACACACGCCGGAUGAAAGGCGACGAAUCUCGGCUGUAGUUCCACACCGCGGCGCGCCGACGCGCCGUCACGGAGAACCUGGCUCUUGUCUCGUCUCCUGCAAAAACGCAAAACGAUCAUUCAUGGAAAGCCGUCUCCCUGGCCUGCUAACGCGCUAUAUCACAAGGAAGGAGGCGGCGGCGGUGGGCGGUGGGCGGCGAGGAUCAGGGCGUCGGCGGCGCGGG